AAAAAAAAUAGAAAAGAAAAGAGAAAAAAGAAAUUCUCCAAUGGCACUAUGAGCAUUCAUGCAAAGACCCUGCCGUGCCUUGGGAUGGGACUGACUACAGCUCUCGAAUAGUUACUGGCAAACAAGUCUUUAAUUCUUAUUUACCUGAAAGCAACGAGGCCCCUAUUGAACCCUCGACCAUCAGCCUUCAAAGACUAUUUUGCUCACCUCCCUAAAUACGGAGCUGACACGAAGGCAAAGGGGAAAUGAAAUUAACUCUGCUUUACACAUGGUUCAAGGCCCAAGACCAGGAAGCCACUCCCAGUCAACGAAGCCCUCGCACGUGUGUUCAAGCACAGACCUCCUUAGUGUCCAGGAUGUUUCGGGUCAGUCUCCCAGGGAUUCCUUUCACCUGCCUGAAGAACAUCCAUCCUUAAAGAACUAGUCAAUUAUGUAUUUUCUGUUACAUUUGGAAAAUGGAGACCGCUUAUUAGACAUCAGCCAAACAAAUAGAAGAAUGAUUUCAUCAACUGAAGUUCUAUCACAUAUCGCAAGCAAUACAAGCCAACUCUGGCAUAUUAAGAAAAGGAGAUUGGGGCCACAGGAAGUAUGGUACUGGACGUCCACGUGGCUGACUGUGGUUAGAGUUCUGGACCUGAAGGCCUGAAAAUCACAC